ensembl:lncRNA
AUGUUUCAUUUCAAGUAUCUCAAGAUAUUUUCUGAUUUUAUAUUUUAUUUAUUUUUAUUUCUGAUUUGUUUAGAGACAGCGUGCGCACGUGCGCACAUACGUCAGACCCACGAGAGGGGAGAGGAUCUCAAGCAGGCUCCACACCCAGCAGGAUCCUCCCACCCUGAGUCACCCAACAGCACCUUUUGGUGGGAAGGAGCAAGUGUCCCGCUUCUCUGGAGCUGAGUGACUCACUCUCUCGUGCCAACUAACAACGUGAAGUUGUCCCGAAGCCUGGACACCAUUAAAUCAACUCGCUUUCCCAGAGGAGGAAUUUACCAGCUCCCCAGAGGCCACGCUGUGCUGCGUGUCACCGUUCCUCGGACUGUCCCUUCGUGGGUGCCACGGUGAUGCAGGUAGGCCGGGUGCGACGACCCUCGAGGGGGUCCCUCGGGCUCAGCCAGGAGGGUCUCUGUGCACAGGAUACAAAUCAAACCUAUUUCAGCAGGAGGGGAGACCAGAGUUUACUGAAGGUAUCGAGGUACACACAGUAUCUGGGGGACUCAGAAAGGAAGGAGAGAGGGUCUUACCUUUGUGGGGCCUGGCAAUUUUUCUGAGGAUUGGGGUCUGGUUGACAUGCCCUCCCUGGCAUCCAGGAACCGGUCAGAACAAAGACAAGGGCCCGGACGUCUAGCUUUGGUGGCCUCGAAUAUGCACGUGAUGACUUCCUCUGGUCAUUCUGCCUGGUCCCUCCUUAGGUGUUAUCCCUUGUGCUGCGAGGCUCCCAAGAAAUCCUUAGGUCCUUGUUCCUGCAAGGAGGACACACACGACGCGUUAUGAGGCGUGUAUAAAGUUGGGGGGUGCAGGUCCUGGCAAAAAAGAAUCAGGAGAAGGAGCAAUAAGCAGAUUUUUAUGGAGUCCUUCAGUUUCUCUAUCCGAGCACUCCUUUUUCUAUCUCAUUGAUCAGAACUCUGUCGUAUGGCCGCUCUAAGCAGAGAUACAUGUUGAUACUACAGUGGACACGUGAGAACAUGGUCGGGAAUGCCUGUUGUCAUCAGCACUGUUUCACAGCGUCCUACACAAUGGCCAUCACCGUUGCACUCACUGUAACUAGCUUGUUACAAAGAAACCCUGUAAUUUAGAAUAUGCUUUACCCAGACGCACAGGAAUUUCAUCACGUAUGCAAAUAAUGGCUCGCUUUUUAGAGUGGGCAGAAGAGCCAUAGAGCCCUGCAAUUACGUUAUGUGCUUAGGGUAAAAAUGACGGCUGUGGAGGAAUAGUCUUCUUUACAUUUAUGAUUAUGCUAGCUGGUCAAUAGAUUGUCUCCUUGACCAGAAGUCUGUGAGGCAGAGACAGGAUAAAGAAAACUCAGGGCUCCUGGGUGGCUGAGUGGCUUACCCGUCCAACUUCGGCUCAGGUCAUGAUCUCGGAGUUUAUGAGUUCGAGCCCCGUGUUGGGCUCUGUGCUGACAGCUCAGAGCCUGGAGCCUUCUUGGGAUUCAGUGUCUCUCUCUCUCUCUCUAUUUGCCCCUCUCGUGCUCAUGCUCUCUCUCUCUCUCUCCCUCAAAAAUAAAGAAACAUUAAGUUUCUUUUAAAAAAGAGAACUAAUGUCUGGGCCUUCAAUUAGUAAGGGAGUUCUCAAGAGAAUUUGGGCUGGAAAAGUAAAUUGGUGGAAAGUAACAAGGUUUGUUUAUACAGACUUCUCAGCUCUAAAUUCUCUGCCUCUGGCGAUAAGAGUCUCUCUAUCUCCUGGAAUAGGGAGGGCACCUUUCGCAUCGGAGACUGAUUUCUUGCUUUCCGGAGACUGAUGGGGGAGGAGGGCAGGCCAGAGUCUUCUUUUUGCAUUUGCUCUUUCAUAAAUAACUUUUAAUUCAAAACAGUAUGCCAAAGCGGUACAUUUUAGGACACCCUUGUCCCUUACACAGACUUAGGAAGACAGAGCCGGCCAUGCCCACCCCCUAGGCAGGGAGAUC